UGGUGCUGCAAGAAAGUAAGCUCUAAACCUCGUAAUGAGAAGACUAUUUGUCGGUAGACCGGUUGGAGCUAUGCCGCGUUGGAGGUGACUUUAAUGUGGUGUAUUGGUUGUUUGGAAAGUAUGGAGGGGGAAAGAUUACAAAGAAUAUGAUAGAUUUUUCGGGAUGGCUCUACCAGAACGAGGACUUACCAAUGGGCUUAAUACGUGGUUUAAUGGUUAAGAGAAGGCAAUGAUGUCAAAAUUAGACAAAUUUUUGGUCUCUCUGGAUUGGUUUGAGCAUUUUCCUACGAUAAUGCAAAGGGGUCUUCUAAGGUUGAUGUUCAAAUGGUUAGAUAUUAUUAGAGACGGAUGAGGAGAAUUGGGGGUUGCACCCUUUUCAUUUUGAGUUGAUGUGGCUAGAAAUGGAGGGAUUUAGGGAACUAGUUAAAAAGUGGUGGGAAUCUUUCGAAGUGGAAGGGCUUUGUAGCAUUUAAAUUAUUAAAAAAAAGAAAAAAGA